rnacentral:rRNA from 1 species
CCUACGGGAGGCAGCAGUGAGGAAUAUUGGUCAAUGGACGCAAGUCUGAACCAGCCAAGCCGCGUGCAGGAAGACGGUCCUAUGAGUUGUAAACCUCUUUUGUACGGGAGCAAACGCAGAUACGUGUCCCUGUAUGAAAGUAUCCCACGAAAAAGCAUCGGCUAACUCCGUGCCAGCAGCCGCGGUAAUACGGAGGAUUCCAGCGUUAUCCGGAUUUAUUGGGUUUAAAGGGUGCGUAGGCGGUCGGAUAAGUUAGGGGUGAAAUCCCGAGGCUCAACAUCGGAAUCGCCUUUGAUACUGUUCGGCUAGAGUGGAGUAGCGGUAGGCGGAAUGUGUGGUGUAGCGGUGAAAUGCUUAGAGAUCACGCAGAACACCGAUUGCGAAGGCAGCAUACCGGGGUCCUACUGACGUUGAGGCACGAAAGCGUGGGUAGCGAACAGGAUUAGAUACCCCUGUAGUC